UACGUAGGGUGCGAGCGUUGUCCGGAAUUAUUGGGCGUAAAGGGCUCGUAGGCGGUUUGUCACGUCGGGAGUGAAAACUCGGGGCUUAACCCCGAGCCUGCUUCCGAUACGGGCUGACUAGAGGUAUGCAGGGGAGAACGGAAUUCCUGGUGUAGCGGUGAAAUGCGCAGAUAUCAGGAGGAACACCGGUGGCGAAGGCGGUUCUCUGGGCCUGUCCUGACGCUCAGGCGCGAAAGCUAGGGGAGCAAACAGG
rnacentral:rRNA from 1 species